UAAUUGAUUCAUUUUUUUUCCCCCACAGGUUGUCAUGUUGUACUUCUUCAUGGUAGAUUAACUCUGUUGUCAAGUAUGCCUAGGAGCCUGGAGUAUGUGACAUGUUACUACAUAACUGGAAGCUAGAAGACUCAAGAUUAUGGGUUUUGCAAUAGGAACAAGCAUUAGAAGGAUCUGGCUUAUGCUAUUUCGUUUAUGCCUUACUACUGGAGGACAAUGCAGGUAUUGUAGUAACAUCUCUGCUUAAAUUAUCGCCGAUGCAAAAUUUAGUCUAGCAUACAAGAAAAGUUAAUCAUUGCAUAUACUAACAGGAUGGGGUAUAAUGUAAAAAUUUGAUCUGUUCAA